AUAUUUCGGAACUGAGUCUAGUUCCUUCGAUAUCAGUGUAAUCUAAUAAUCAUAAGUAUGAUAUUACACCAAGACAGCAAAUAUCAUGAUUAUUAGAUUACACUGAUAUCGAAGGAACUAGACUCAGUUCCGAAAUAU